rnacentral:rRNA from 1 species
UACGUAGGCAGCGAGCGUUGUUCGGAGUUACUGGGCGUAAAGGGUGUGUAGGCGGUUGUUUAAGUUUGGUGUGAAAUCUCCCGGCUCAAAUGGGAGGGUGCGCCGAAUACUGAAUGACUUGGAGUGCGGGAGAGGAAAGUGGAAUUCCUGGUGUAGCGGUGAAAUGCGUAGAUAUCAGGAGGAACCCCGGUGGUGUAGACGGCUUUCUGGACCGUAACUGACGCUGAGACACGAAAGCGUGGGUAGCAAACAGG